rnacentral:lncRNA from 1 species
UGGAGGGGAAUGUCAUACUCUUAGAUCAAAGACUUUGGAAAUUAAAAAACUUGUCAACUCUUGCUGGCAUAUUGCUUAUUAGAGGGACCAUGGGCUAUCAUUUUCUUCUUUUCUCUUUUUUUAAGUGGAUACCAAGGUACCCCUAUUUCUACUGCUGGACACUUGUCCAUUUUUUCUGCGAGGUUAUCGAGCACUUGUUCCUUUUUAUUUCCUCGAAAUAUCUUUAUUUUUGCAUAGCCCAUGCCUCUAAUGCAAUAAUACUUCGGAAGAGUGAAUCUUUGUGAAUAAAUGUCUUGAUCUUAGGAGCAUGAUAAAUCUCUCAACAAGGGUCUAACUCAUUUUGAACAAACUCAAUACAGAGUAGAUAGCUUUUAUAAUCAUAAUUAAUAUUUUCAGUUUUAUCAGGCAUAUAAAACACUGAGUAU